GCCCCUAUAACUCAAUUGGCAGAGUAGCGGACUUUUAAUCCGCGAGUUCCGGGUUCGAGUCCCGGUAGGGGUA
rnacentral:tRNA from 1 species